UACGGGUUGUGAGAGCAAGAGCCCGGAGAUGGAACCUGAGACAAGGUUCCAGGCCCUACGGGGUGCAGCAGGCGCGAAACCUCCGCAAUGUGAGAAAUCGCGACGGGGGGAUCCCAAGUGCCAUUCUUAACGGGAUGGCUUUUCAUUAGUGUAAAGAGCUUUUGGAACAAGGGCUGGGUAAGACCGGUGCCAGCCGCCGCGGUAACACCGGCAGCUCUAGUGGUAGCAGUUUUUAUUGGGCCUAAAGCGUCCGUAGCCGGUUUAAUAAGUCUCUGGUGAAAUCCUGUAGCUUAACUGUGGGAAUUGCUGGAGAUACUAUUAGACUUGAGACCGGGAGAGGUUAGAGGUACUCCCAGGGUAGAGGUGAAAUUCUGUAAUCCUGGGAGGGCCGCCUGUUGCGAAGGCGUCUAACUGGAACGGUUCUGACGGUGAGGGACGAAAGUUAGGGGCGCGAACCGGAUUAGAUACCCGGGUAGUCCUAACCGUAAACGAUGCGGACUUGGUGUUGGGGUGGCUUUGAGCUGCUCCAGUGCCGAAGGGAAGCUGUUAAGUCCGCCGCCUGGGGAGUACGAUCGCAAGUCUGAAACUUAAAGGAAUUGGCGGGGGAGCA
rnacentral:rRNA from 1 species